GCCAAUAUAGGCAGACCACGCAGCUGCUAUGGGGCCCGUGGGAGGGGGGGGCCCGGAGUGCAUGGAAGCAAGGGCCGGCUCCCAGCUACCACCAUUCUUCCUUCUCUGCUGCUGGACUGCAUUUAGUUUUACUUUGGAGAAAGGGACAGCACAGUACCGUGCAGGGAUUGUUCCUUUCUCCAAAGUAAACUUUACCGAUCUGACAUGAGCAGACAGCUCCCCCCCCCUCCUCCUCUCUGCAGUGUGAUAUUCCUUCAUGUGUGAGGAGGGGGCGGAGCCAGAGGAGCCGAGGCAGCAGCAGGAGAUAAUGGAGACCCUGCACCUUCUGACCUCCGGUGUCACUGUGCCUCCAGUAUAAAGUUCAGUCCCUCACCGGUCCUCCUACACAGCAACAAUGGGCUCAGUGUGUUAUUAGGCUGAUUCCCAAGUGAAAGGUCACUGAAGCCGCCAUAAAGAAGAUUUCCUGAGAAAAGAGAAAGCAUUAUCCAGCUCAUCGAUAGAGGUAGCAGCUAGACCAUGUUGACCCUGGGAUCUCAAAAAGAGAAGAUUUCACCAAUACAUCGUCCUAUCCCUAAAAACAUGGGCAACUCUAGGUGGAUUAAGGCGGACAUUUU